UGCUUAACACAUGCAAGUCGAACGAUGAACCACUUCGGUGGGGAUUAGUGGCGAACGGGUGAGUAACACGUGGGCAAUCUGCCCUGCACUCUGGGACAAGCCCUGGAAACGGGGUCUAAUACCGGAUACGAGCCUCCUCCGCAUGGUGGGGGUUGGAAAGCUCCGGCGGUGCAGGAUGAGCCCGCGGCCUAUCAGCUUGUUGGUGAGGUAACGGCUCACCAAGGCGACGACGGGUAGCCGGCCUGAGAGGGCGACCGGCCACACUGGGACUGAGACACGGCCCAGACUCCUACGGGAGGCAGCAGUGGGGAAUAUUGCACAAUGGGCGAAAGCCUGAUGCAGCGACGCCGCGUGAGGGAUGAAGGCCUUCGGGUUGUAAACCUCUUUCAGCAGGGAAGAAGCGAAAGUGACGGUACCUGCAGAAGAAGCGCCGGCUAACUACGUGCCAGCAGCCGCGGUAAUACGUAGGGCGCAAGCGUUGUCCGGAAUUAUUGGGCGUAAAGAGCUCGUAGGCGGCUUGUCACGUCGGUUGUGAAAGCCCGGGGCUUAACCCCGGGUCUGCAGUCGAUACGGGCAGGCUAGAGUUCGGUAGGGGAGAUCGGAAUUCCUGGUGUAGCGGUGAAAUGCGCAGAUAUCAGGAGGAACACCGGUGGCGAAGGCGGAUCUCUGGGCCGAUACUGACGCUGAGGAGCGAAAGCGUGGGGAGCGAACAGGAUUAGAUACCCUGGUAGUCCACGCCGUANACGGUGGGCACUAGGUGUGGGCGACAUUCCACGUCGUCCGUGCCGCAGCUAACGCAUUAAGUGCCCCGCCUGGGGAGUACGGCCGCAAGGCUAANACUCAA
rnacentral:rRNA from 1 species